CCUACGGGAGGCUGCAGUGAGGAAUAUUGGUCAAUGGGCGCGAGCCUGAACCAGCCAAGUAGCGUGAAGGAUGACUGCCCUACGGGUUGUAAACUUCUUUUAUAAAGGAAUAAAGUGAGGCACGUGUGCCUUUUUGUAUGUACUUUAUGAAUAAGGAUCGGCUAACUCCGUGCCAGCAGCCGCGGUAAUACGGAGGAUCCGAGCGUUAUCCGGAUUUAUUGGGUUUAAAGGGAGCGUAGAUGGGUUUUUAAGUCAGUUGUGAAAGUUUGCGGCUCAACCGUAAAAUUGCAAUUGAUACUGGAAGUCUUGAGUACAGUCGAGGUAGGCGGAAUUCGUGGUGUAGCGGUGAAAUGCUUAGAUAUCACGAAGAACCCCGAUUGCGAAGGCAGCUUACUAAACUGUGACUGACAUUGAUGCUCGAAAGUGUGGGUAUCAAACAGGAUUAGAUACCCUUGUAGUC
rnacentral:rRNA from 1 species